GCAGCAGUGGGGAAUAUUGCACAAUGGGCGAAAGCCUGAUGCAGCCAUGCCGCGUGUGUGAAGAAGGCCUUCGGGUUGUAAAGCACUUUCAGUUGUGAGGAAAGGUGGGUAGUUAAUAGCUGCUCGCUGUGACGUUAGCAACAGAAGAAGCACCGGCUAACUCCGUGCCAGCAGCCGCGGUAAUACGGAGGGUGCGAGCGUUAAUCGGAAUUACUGGGCGUAAAGCGUGCGUAGGCGGUUUGUUAAGCAAG
rnacentral:rRNA from 1 species